rnacentral:rRNA from 1 species
UACGUAGGGGGCAAGCGUUGGUCCGGAAUCAUUGGGCGUAAAGAAGCGUGUAGGCGGCUCGAUAAGUCUGCUGUGAAAGUCCAGGGCUCAACCCUGGAAGGCCGGUGGAAACUGUCGGGCUAGAGUCCGGAAGAGGCGAGUGGAAUUCCCGGUGUAGCGGUGAAAUGCGCAGAUAUCGGGAGGAACACCAAUGGCGAAGGCAGCUCGCUGGGACGGUACUGACGCUGAGACGCGAAAGCGUGGGGAGCAAACAGG